rnacentral:rRNA from 1 species
AGCGAACGCUGGCGGCAGGCCUAACACAUGCAAGUCGAACGGAUCCUUCGGGAUUAGUGGCGGACGGGUGAGUAACACGUGGGAACGUGCCCUUUGGUUCGGAACAACUCAGGGAAACUUGAGCUAAUACCGGAUGUGCCCUUCGGGGGAAAGAUUUAUCGCCAUUGGAGCGGCCCGCGUCUGAUUAGCUAGUUGGUGAGGUAACGGCCCACCAAGGCGACGAUCAGUAGCUGGUCUGAGAGGAUGAUCAGCCACACUGGGACUGCGACACGGCCCAGACUCCUACGGGAGGCAGCAGUGGGGAAUCUUGCGCAAUGGGCGAAAGCCUGACGCAGCCAUGCCGCGUGAAUGAUGAAGGUCUUAGGAUUGUAAAAUUCUUUCAGCGGGGACGAUAAUGACGGUACCCGCAGAAGAAGCUCCGGCUAACUUCGU